UAAGACCAUUAGUGAGCAUGUCAUACUCUUUAGUCUUGACAAUGCAUAUAGGUAUAAGACAUGGUAUAUGCAUGGAGAAUUAAUUCCAGGUUCGAGAGCACAUAAAAAAGCAUUGAAACGCAAGAGACGUGAAAUAGCAGUUUCUACUGCACCUCCUAUGAUAGUAAAAAAUGAGAUGACCCUUUUAGUAAAUGAAGCAAUGGUUGAUCCAACUAUUGAGGUAUGAAACAAUGGUUGAAACAAACAUCUCAGAGUUUUCGACAAGCAUUCGAGUACAUUGAGGUAUGUUUAUUUUUAUUUUCUGAUUUAGAUUUUUUUUUAGUAGAAUAAUUUUUCAAUUUUUAUUAUAUAGGUUGAUUUUGAUUUAGACGGUUACCCAAAUGCUCAUCAAUACAUCAAAUUCAAACUCAACAAUACUUGGAGGCGUUAUCAAAACUAUAUAAAGGAAAAAUACUUUGAUCCAUUUGUUGAUGAUGAAUCAACUGAAAGGAUGUAUGCUAGUCUUCCUCCAUACAUUGAUCGAUUCACUUUCGAAAAGUGUGUGGAAGAAUUAUGGACUACAGAAGAAUUUAAGGUAUUGUUUUUUAUACAUCCAUACUUCAAUUAUUUACUAUUUUAUAUUGUAAGUUGUAUAACAUUGUAUAUGAAUUCGCAGAGAAAAUCCAAAAUAAACAAAACAAACCGGACUAAGAAGAUACUAAAUCAUAAAACAGG
rnacentral:lncRNA from 1 species